rnacentral:tRNA from 1 species
AGCAGUGGGGCUCGGUGGAAAGAGCACGGGCUUGAAAGUCAGAGGUUGUGGGUUCAAAUCCCAGCCCUGCUG